UACGAAGGGGGCUAGCGUUGCUCGGAAUCACUGGGCGGAAAGCGCACGUAGGCGGAUUGCUAAGUCAGGGGUGAAAUCCUGGAGCUCAACUCCAGAACUGCCUUUGAUACUGGCAACCUUGAGUCCGGGAGAGGUGAGUGGAACUGCGAGUGUAGAGGUGAAAUUCGUAGAUAUUCGCAAGAACACCAGUGGCGAAGGCGGCUCACUGGCCCGGUACUGACGCUGAGGUGCGAAAGCGUGGGGAGCAAACAGG
rnacentral:rRNA from 1 species